rnacentral:rRNA from 2 species
GGGGGGGACUACCAUGCAGUCGAACGGUAACAGGAAGCAGCUUGCUGCUUCGCUGACGAGUGGCGGACGGGUGAGUAAUGUCUGGGAAACUGCCUGAUGGAGGGGGAUAACUACUGGAAACGGUAGCUAAUACCGCAUAACGUCGCAAGACCAAAGAGGGGGACCUUCGGGCCUCUUGCCAUCGGAUGUGCCCAGAUGGGAUUAGCUAGUAGGUGGGGUAACGGCUCACCUAGGCGACGAUCCCUAGCUGGUCUGAGAGGAUGACCAGCCACACUGGAACUGAGACACGGUCCAGACUCCUACGGGAGGCAGCAGUGGGGAAUAUUGCACAAUGGGCGCAAGCCUGAUGCAGCCAUGCCGCGUGUAUGAAGAAGGCCUUCGGGUUGUAAAGUACUUUCAGCGGGGAGGAAGGCGAUAAGGUUAAUAACCUUGUCGAUUGACGUUACCCGCAGAAGAAGCACCGGCUAACUCCGUGCCAGCAGCCGCGGUAAUACGGAGGGUGCAAGCGUUAAUCGGAAUUACUGGGCGUAAAGCGCACGCAGGCGGUCUGUCAAGUCGGAUGUGAAAUCCCCGGGCUCAACCUGGGAUCUG